UACGAAGGGUGCAAGCGUUACUCGGAAUUACUGGGCGUAAAGGGUGCGUAGGUGGUUCUUUAAGUCUGCUGUGAAAGCCCCGGGCUCAACCUGGGAAUGGCAGUGGAUACUGGAGAGCUAGAGUGCGGUAGAGGGUAGUGGAAUUCCCGGUGUAGCAGUGAAAUGCGUAGAUAUCAGGAAGAACACCAAUGGCGAAGGCAGCUCGCUGGGACGGUACUGACGCUGAGACGCGAAAGCGUGGGGAGCAAACAGG
rnacentral:rRNA from 1 species